rnacentral:lncRNA from 1 species
CAUGGGGGCACUGGAGUGAUACUGGGAUGGGGCCUUUGGGUCCAUUUGGGCCACUGGCUUGGUACUGGGAUGGGAUCUGUGGGGACUGGGUGGUACUGGGAGGGGACAUUUGGGGACUGGGGGGGUACUGGGAUGGGAUGUUGGGGGGCUAGGGUGAUACUGGGACGGGACAUUUGCAGAAUGGGGGGAUACUGGGAAGGGACAACUGGAGGCUGGGGUGAUACUGGGAUGGGAUCUAUGGGGACUGGGGUCAUACUGGGAGGGGACAUUUGGGACUGGAGUGAUACUGGGAUGGGACCUGGGGGCACUGGGGUCAUACUGGGAUGGGGGCAGCUGGGGACUGGGAUGUUACUGGGAUGGGACAUUUGAGAAGUGGAGGGAUACUGGGAUGGGAUGUUUGGGGACACAGUGAUACUGGGAUGGGACGUUUGGGUCCAUGUGGGGCACCAGCUUGGUACUGGGAUGGGGCCAGUGGGGACUGGGUGGUACUGGGAUGGGACAUUUGGGGACUGGGGUCAUACUGGGAUGGGACAUGGGGGCACUGGAUUAACACUGGGCUGGGACAGCUGGGACUGGAGUGAUACUGGGAUGGGACAUUUGAGGACUGGGCUUAUACUGGGAUGGGGCCUGGGGGAACUGGAGUGGUACUGGGACGGGACAUUUGGGAACUGGGGUCAUACUGGGAUGGGACAUUUGCAGACUGGGGGGAUACUGGGAAGGGACAACUGGAGACUGGGGUGAUACUGGGAUGGGACCUGUGGGGACUGGGGUCAUACUGGGAUGGGGGCAGCGGGGGACUGGAGUGCUACUGGGAUGGGACCUAUGGGGACUGGGGUGGUACUGGGAGGGGCCAUUUGAUGACUGGGGGGGUACUGGGAAGGGACAACUGGAGGCUGGGGUCAUACUGGGAUGGGAUGUUGGGGGACUGGGGUGAUACUGGGAGGGGACAUUUGGGGCACCAGAGUUAUACUGGGAUGGAACAACUGAGGACUGGAGUGGUACUGGGAUGGGAAAUGGGGGGACUGGGAUGUUACUGGGAUGGGACAUUUGACAACUGGAGUGAUACUGGGGAUGGGGCACUUGGGUCCAUUUGGGGCACCAGCACCAUACCGGGAUGGGACCAGUGGGGCCUGGGUGUCACCGGCAGGUGACAUUCACCCACUGGGGUCACACUGGGAUGCCCCCCCCCACGAUAUACGGAUAUAAAU